rnacentral:misc_RNA from 1 species
CCGCUGGAAAGAAGUGUGGAAGUAAGUAACUAUAUUUCUCAUUCAAUUUUUUCUUUUUUUUUAUUAUUUAAUUAUCUAUUCAACUAAAUUAAAAUUAUCACAAAAUUAAAAGUGAGUCAAGCAGUGACGGAUAUGCAUGAUCCAUCCCACUUGUGAAGAUAAAUGUGCGUGAAUAAUAUAGCUAGACAAACACUAAUGCCAUUAGGCAAUCAUUAUAACAAUUGGCCAAUGCUUCAUUAAUUUUGUGCUAUGCAUAACCCUAGUUUAUACUUUCUACUAAUUAACGUGGCAUAAAGUUUCCCCACUAUAGUGUUGGUGUGUGAUUUUGGUUAUUGGGAAAUCAAGACUUUUGUGCAAUUUGCUUAGUCCUUUUCUUUAUUAUAUACACAAUCCAUGAGUGCCCUAGAGUGGGCUUCAAGUAGGCAGCCCCGUUGCUCACCCAAAAAUCAUAUCCCCAUACAUUAUAACGACUUUUGCCUCUCUCUGAUUGCAGGUUACACAGUCCCAUGAAACUCCAAUGGGCGACAGAGGAGAAUAAAGCAAAGAAAAAGAAAAAAAAAUCCCAUUCCAUGUGAGAGAAGAGAGAGUGUGUGUCAAAUAAGAGUUGCCAUUUAGGGUCCUGUUGUGCUUCAUAAUUGACCCAUUAAGGCAGCAGUGAUUUUAUGUAAUGCUGUGACAUCUUGUCAAUGCUUUGCUGUGCUAAUAAAGAAGUUUAUUACUAUGCCUU